rnacentral:rRNA from 1 species
UAGGGAAUCUUCCGCAAUGGACGCAAGUCUGACGGAGCAACGCCGCGUGAGUGAAGAAGGUUUUCGGAUCGUAAAACUCUGUUGUAAGAGAAGAACAAAUUGUAGAGUAACUGCUACAGUCUUGACGGUAUCUUACCAGAAAGCCACGGCUAACUACGUGCCAGCAGCCGCGGUAAUACGUAGGUGGCAAGCGUUGUCCGGAUUUAUUGGGCGUAAAGGGGGCGCAGGCUGCUUCUUAAGUCUGAUGUGAAAGCCCACGGCUUAACCGUGGAAGUGCAUUGGAAACUGGGAAGCUUGAGUACAGAAGAGGAAAGUGGAACUCCAUGUGUAGCGGUGGAAUGCGUAGAUAUAUGGAAGAACACCAGUAGCGAAAGCGACUUUCUGGUCUGUCACUGACGCUGAGGCCCGAAAGCGUGGGUAGCAAACAGG